UACGGAGGAUGCAAGCGUUAUCCGGAAUUAUUGGGCGUAAAGAGUUCGUAGGCGGUUGCCUAAGUCUGAUGUUAAAUACUGGAGCUCAACUCCGGCAUGGCAUUGGAAACUGGGCGGCUAGAGUGUGGUAGAGGUCUCGGGAAUUCCGGGUGUAGCGGUGGAAUGCGUAGAGAUCCGGAAGAACACCGGUGGCGAAGGCGGCCUGCUGGGCAGUUUGGCUGACACUGAGGCGCGACAGCGUGGGGAGCAAACAGG
rnacentral:rRNA from 1 species